rnacentral:tRNA from 1 species
GAUUUAAAUAGCUUAAGUUAUAAAGCUUAAUAUUGAAAAUAUUAAAAUGAUUAUUAAAUCUUUAAAU